UAUCUCUGUAGAGUCUGCAUAUCAAUAAGCGGAGGAAAAGAAACUAACUAGGAUUCCCUUAGUAACGGCGAGUGAAGCGGGAAGAGCUCAAAUUUGAAAUCCUCAAGGUUCUACCUUGACGAAUUGUAGUUUAAAGAAGUGUUUUCUGUUGGAGUUUUGGUAAAAGUUCUUUGGAAUAGGACAUCAUAGAGGGUGAGAAUCCCGUAUUUGACCAUUACUUCCAGCUUUGUGAUACACUUUCAAAGAGUCGGAUUGUUUGGGAAUGCAGUCCAAAAUGGGUGGUAAAUUUCAUCUAAAGCUAAAUAUUGGCGAGAGACCGAUAGCGAACAAGUACCGUGAGGGAAAGAUGAAAAGAACUUUGAAAAGAGAGUUAAACAGUACGUGAAAUUGUCAAAAGGGAAGCGUUUGACACCAGUGUUGUUUUUCCAAAAAUCAAUUACGAAUGGCUUGAUUUUGUGUUGUAUUGACCUUAUCAGCUUUCUGCACUUUUUUUGAGUCUUUCUUUAAUGCACUUUUUGGUUAACAAGUCAACAUCAAUUUCUUUUGUUGUAAAAGAGUAUUCGGAAGGUGGCUUUCUUUUCGGAGAAAGUGUUUAUAGCCCUAUACUUCUACAAUCGGAGAGAUUGAGGUCUGCAGCGUAGAUCCUUCGGGGUUAGAUACACUUGUGCUAAGUUGUAACUUUUCAUAGACAACUUGUUGACUAUGUUUAGUCAUGCGGCUUACUCGCUUGUGCUAUUUUACCUACGCUUAGGAUGUUGAAGAUGUAGCACAUCAU
rnacentral:rRNA from 1 species